UCUCCGUUGGUGAACCUGCGGAGGGAUCAUUACCAAAGAUGGCGGGCCUCCGUGCCCCCGUCCCCAACCCAUUGUUGACCAAAACCCUUUUGCCUCGGGGGCCGAGCGUCCGCCGCCGCCGCCCCCGGAGGACCAUUCAACGCUGUCUCUUUGCGUCGGAGUAAUUGAUUAAAUAAAUGAAAACUUUCAACAACGGAUCUCUUGGUUCUGGCAUCGAUGAAGAACGCAGC
rnacentral:misc_RNA from 1 species